GUUUUUUCUCAGAGUUUCGAAUUUUCAAGGGGAGGAAAUAAAUGAAUGUCUAAAUUAGUAGGUAAGGUUGAAAAUUUAAUUUUAGUUAAAAAAUUACAUAGGUUUUUGAUUUACAUACAAAUUUUAAAGAAUUUUUUAAUUUAGUAGUAUUAAAUUUUAAGUAUAUGGGUAAUCAUGACUUAGCAAUAAAUCUUAAGUACUAACAAAAUUUGUGCCAGCAGUUGCGGUUAUACAGAUAGUGCAAUAUAAUUUUUUUGGUUUUAAUUAAUUUAUUUAUAAAAAAAAUAAAAAUUUAUUUUUUAAGUGAAAUUUUAAAUGGAUUAAUUUUUUUGUUAAAUUAAGUGAAGUUGAGAAAGUGAAUUUUUAAACUAGGAUUAGAUACCCUAUUAUUUUUACUGUGAAUUUUUACCAAAUUAUUAAUAGUUAUUUUCUUUAAAAUUAAAAAAUUUGGCGGUACUUUAGUCUUUUCAGAGGAACCUGUUCUUUAAUCGAUAAUCCACGUUUUAGGUAACUUUAGUUAGAAAUUUAUAUAUCGUUGUUGUUGAGAAUUUUAAAAGAAUAAAAAUUUUCUUAUUUUUUUUUAAGAAAAUAAAUCAGAUCAAGGUGUAGUUUAUAUUAAAGUAGAAAUGGGUUACAAUAAAAAAAUUUUUGGAUCUAAUAUUUAAAAUUUUAGUGAAAAUGGAUUUGAAAGUAAUUAAGUUAAUUUGAUUUAAUGAUUAAGCUCUAAAGUAUGUACAUAUCGCCCGUCGCUUUCAUUUUAAAAUGAAAUAAGUCGUAACAAAGUAGAUUUACUGGAAAGUGAAUCUAGAAGUU
rnacentral:ncRNA from 1 species